rnacentral:rRNA from 1 species
AACGAACGCUGGCGGCAUGCCUAACACAUGUAAGUCGAACGCUCACCUUCGGGUGGGAGUGGCGCACGGGUGCGUAACGCGUGGGAAUCUGCCCUUGGGUUCGGGAUAACAGUUGGAAACGACUGCUAAUACCGGAUGAUGACUUCGGUCCAAAGAUUUAUCGCCCAGGGAUGAGCCCGCGUAGGAUUAGCUUGUUGGUGAGGUAAGAGCUCACCAAGGCGACGAUCCUUAGCUGGUCUGAGAGGAUGAUCAGCCACACUGGGACUGAGACACGGCCCAGACUCCUACGGGAGGCAGCAGUGGGGAAUAUUGGACAAUGGGCGAAAGCCUGGUCCAGCAAUGCCGCGUGAGUGAUGAAGGCCUUAGGGUUGUAAAGCUCUUUUACCCGGGAUGAUAAUGACAGUACCGGGAGAAUAAGCCCCGGCUAACUCCGUGCCAGCCGCCGCCGUAAUAC